rnacentral:rRNA from 1 species
UAGCGACAGGCUUAACACAUGCAAGUCGAGGGGCAGCACAGGUAGCAAUACCGGGUGGCGACCGGCGCACGGGUGAGUAACGCGUAUGCAACUUGCCUAUCAGAGGGGGAUAACCCGGCGAAAGUCGGACUAAUACCGCAUGAAGCAGGGAUCCCGCAUGGGAAUAUUUGCUAAAGAUUCAUCGCUGAUAGAUAGGCAUGCGUUCCAUUAGGCAGUUGGCGGGGUAACGGCCCACCAAACCGACGAUGGAUAGGGGUUCUGAGAGGAAGGUCCCCCACAUUGGUACUGAGACACGGACCAAACUCCUACGGGAGGCAGCAGUGAGGAAUAUUGGUCAAUGGCCGAGAGGCUGAACCAGCCAAGUCGCGUGAGGGAUGAAGGUUCUAUGGAUCGUAAACCUCUUUUAUAAGGGAAUAAAGUGCGGGACGUGUCCCGUUUUGUAUGUACCUUAUGAAUAAGGAUCGGCUAACUCCGUGCCAGCAGCCGCGGUAAUACGGAGGAUCCGAGCGUUAUCCGGAUUUAUUGGGUUUAAAGGGUGCGUAGGCGGCCUUUUAAGUCAGCGGUGAAAGUCUGUGGCUCAACCAUAGAAUUGCCGUUGAAACUGGGGGGCUUGAGUAUGUUUGAGGCAGGCGGAAUGCGUGGUGUAGCGGUGAAAUGCUUAGAUAUCACGCAGAACCCCGAUUGCGAAGGCAGCCUGCCAAGCCAUUACUGACGCUGGUGCACGAAAGCGUGGGGAUCAAACAGGAUUAGAUACCCUGGUAGUCCACGCAGUAAACGAUGAUCACUAGCUGUUUGCGAUACAUUGUAAGCGGCACAGCGAAAGCGUUAAGUGAUCCACCUGGGGAGUACGCCGGCAACGGUGAAACUCAAAGGAAUUGACGGGGGCCCGCACAAGCGGAGGAACAUGUGGUUUAAUUCGAUGAUACGCGAGGAACCUUACCCGGGUUUGAACGCAUUCGGACCGAGGUGGAAACACCUUUUCUAGCAAUAGCCGUUUGCGAGGUGCUGCAUGGUUGUCGUCAGCUCGUGCCGUGAGGUGUCGGCUUAAGUGCCAUAACGAGCGCAACCCUUGCCACUAGUUACUAACAGGUGAUGCUGAGGACUCUGGUGGGACUGCCAGCGUAAGCUGCGAGGAAGGCGGGGAUGACGUCAAAUCAGCACGGCCCUUACAUCCGGGGCGACACACGUGUUACAAUGGCGUGGACAAAGGGAGGCCACCUGGCGACAGGGAGCGAAUCCCCAAACCACGUCUCAGUUCGGAUCGGAGUCUACAACCCGACUCCGUGAAGCUGGAUUCGCUAGUAAUCGCGCAUCAGCCAUGGCGCGGUGAAUACGUUCCCGGGCCUUGUACACACCGCCCGUCAAGCCAUGGGAGCCGGGGGUACCAUGAAGUCCGUAACCGCGAGGAUCGGCCUAGGGUAAAACUGGAAACGGGGGCU